AACGAACGCUGGCGGCAUGCCUAACACAUGCAAGUCGAACGAGCCCUUCGGGUCUUGUGGCGCAUGGGUGCGUAACGCGUGGGAACCUGCCCUUAGGUUCGGAAUAACUCCCCGCAAGGGGUGCUAAUACCGGAUAAUGUCUUCGGACCAAAGAUUUAUCGCCUUUGGAUGGGCCCGCGUUGGAUUAGCUAGUUGGUAGGGUAAAAGCCUACCAAGGCGACGAUUCAUAGCUGGUCUGAGAGGAUGAUCAGCCACACUGGGACUGAGACACGGCCCAGACUCCUACGGGAGGCAGGAGUGGGGAAUAUUGGACAGUGGGCGAAAGGCUGAUCCAGCAAUGCCGCGUGAGUGAUGAAGGCCUUAGGGUUGUAAAGCUCUUUUACCCGUGAUGAUAAUGACAGUACCGGAAGAAUAAGCUCCGGCUAACUCCGUG
rnacentral:rRNA from 1 species